rnacentral:rRNA from 1 species
UACGUAGGGACCAAGCGUUGUUCGGAUUUACUGGGCGUAAAGGGCGCGUAGGCGGCGCGGGUAAGUCACUUGUGAAAUCUCUGAGCUUAACUCAGAACGGCCAAGUGAUACUGCAGCUGCUAGAGUGUGGAAGGGGCAAUCGGAAUUCUUGGUGUAGCGGUGAAAUGCGUAGAUAUCAAGAGGAACACCUGAGGUGAAGACGGGAUUGCUGGGCCAACACGUGACGCUGGAGGCGACGAAAGCCAGGGGAGCAAACGGGGA